ACCAGACUCCUACGGGAGGCAGCAGUGGGGAAUAUUGCACAAUGGGGGAAACCCUGAUGCAGCGACGCCGCGUGAGUGAAGAAGUAUUUCGGUAUGUAAAGCUCUAUCAGCAGGGAAGAAAAUGACGGUACCUGAUUAAGAAGCCCCGGCUAACUACGUGCCAGCAGCCGCGGUAAUACGUAGGGGGCAAGCGUUAUCCGGAUUUACUGGGUGUAAAGGGAGCGUAGACGGUGAUGCAAGUCAGAAGUGAAAGCCCGGGGCUCAACUCCGGGACUGCUUUUGAAACUGUGUGACUGGAGUGCAGGAGAGGUAAGCGGAAUUCCUGGUGUAGCGGUGAAAUGCGUAGAUAUCAGGAGGAACACCAGUGGCGAAGGCGGCUUACUGGACUGUAACUGACGUUGAGGCCCGAAAGCGUGGGGAGCAAACAGGAUUAGAUACCCGAGUA
rnacentral:rRNA from 1 species